rnacentral:rRNA from 1 species
CCUACGGGAGACUGCAGUCGAGAAUCAUUCACAAUGGGGGAAACCCUGAUGGUGCGACGCCGCGUGGGGGAAUGAAGGUCUUCGGAUUGUAAACCCCUGUCAUGUGGGAGCAAAUUAAAAAGAUAGUACCACAAGAGGAAGAGACGGCGAAAUAUGGGCCAGCAGCCGCGGUAAUACAGAGGUCUCAAGCGUUGUUCGGAAUCACUGGGCGUAAAGCGUGCGCAGGCUGUUUCGUAAGUCGUGUGUGAAAGGCGCGGGCACAAACCGCGGAGGGCACCUGAAACGGCGGGACUAGAGUAAUGGAGGGGGAUCCGGAAUUCGCGGUGUAGCAGUGAAAUGCGUAGAUAUCGAGAGGAACACUCGUGGCGAAGGCGGGUUCCUGGACAUUAACUGACGCUGAGGCACGAAGGCCAGGGGAGCGAAAGGGAUUAGAUACCCCAGUAGUC